GAUGAACGCUGGCGGCGUGCCUAAUACAUGCAAGUAGAGCGAACAGACGAGGAGUUUGCUCCUCUGACGUUAGCGGCGGACGGGUGAGUAACACGUGGAUAACCUCCCUAUGCGACUGGGAUAACUUCGGGAAACUGGAGCUAAUACCAGAUAAUAUAUUGAACCGUAUGGUUCAAUAGUGAAAGACGGUUUUGCUGCCACUAAUAGAUGGAUCCGUGCGGCAUUAGCUAGUUGGUAAGGUAACGGCUUAACAAGGCAACGAUGCGUAGCCGACCUGAGGGGGUGAUCGGCCACACUGGACCUGAGCAACGGUCCAGACUCCUACGGGAGGCAGCAGUAGGGAAUCUUCGGAAAUGGGCGAAAGCUUGACGGAGCAACGCCGCGUGAGUGAGGAGGGUCUUCGGAUCGUAAAACUCGGUUAUUAGGGAAGAACAAAUGUGUAAGUAACUGUGCACGUCUUGACGGUACCUAAUCAGAAAGCCACGGCUAACUACGUG
rnacentral:rRNA from 1 species